GGAUGUGAGGGUCAUCUGUCUGUGACAUCUGUCACCCCAUUGAUCACCAGGGUUGAUUCAGCUGAUCUGGCUGGCUAGGCGAAUGUCCCCUUCCUCCCUCACCGCUCCAUGUGCAUCCCUCUAGGAGCUGCAUGCUCAAAGAGAACAACCACCCCCAUAGAGGAGGACCGUUUUCUCCAUCAGAGGUGUAAGAGUAGCUGCACUCCCCGGCUAGAACCUCCAAACAAGCUCUCAAAUAACCUCUCAUUUCAUUUGUGGUUUCUUUUUUCACAUAUGUCAAUUUAGAAAUGUAUGCUAUCUCAACCUGAUAAAAGCCAUCUGUGAAAAACCGACAGGCAACAUCA
ensembl:misc_RNA 7SK 7SK RNA